GAUGAAGAACGCAGCGAAAUGCGAUACGUAAUGUGAAUUGCAGAAUUCAGUGAAUCAUCGAAUCUUUGAACGCAUAUUGCGCUCUCUGGUAUUCCGGAGAGCAUGCUUGUUUGAGUAUCAGUAAACACCUCAACUUCCAUAUCUUUUUUGAAAUGGGAGUUGGACUUGAGUGAUCCCAACGCUUUUCCUCACCGAAAAGUGGCGGGUUACUUGAAAUGCAGGUGCAGCUGGACUUUUCUCUGAGCUAUAAGAAUAUCUAUUUAGUCUGCCUAAAAAACAGAUUAUUACCUUUGCUGCAGCUAACAUAAAGGAGAUUAGUUCUUGUGCUGACUGAUGCAGGAUUCACAAAGACAGGCUUCGGCCGACUUUGUAAACUCGAUCUCAAAUCAAGUAAGACUACCCGCUGAACUUAAGCAUAUCAAUAAGCGGAGGA
rnacentral:misc_RNA from 1 species